UAAUACCCGGCAACAUUGAUUUUAAUCUGAUCAAUGGUUCACUAAACAUAACAAUACUAUAUAUUACACGUAAAUAAACCAGAAGCAUCAUGUCCAUGUCCCCUUAGAUUUUUGAGCCAAGUGGAAUUCAAAUGCAACUUCCCAAAAAUAUACGUGUAUCUGCCUGGAAACCCUUUACAAUAAGGUUCCGUUAGUUAAAGGUGAAGUGUGUAAGUUCUGCGCUACUAGUGGCACCAAACGGAAUUACAAAGAUCAAGUAUGUUUUCAAACAACCUUAGCCAACACCCCUUAGGAGAAUUGUGUCUCUGCAGAACAAAAAUAGGUGUUUUCCAAUCAGUGGGGGUUUUCAAACCGGGAUGGGCAUUUUUCAACGCUUCACACGAUUUGCCUAUUACAUGAGAAGGAUAUAGCUGCAGGUAUUGCUCCAAAAAGGGGUGGUUGCUCUAAACCACCACUGAAGAUAUAGGAAGCCCCUUACAUAACCCUUUCCCUAACCUUAACCGUGAGUGGAAGUGACACCCCCCUUUUGGAGUUGGCGCAACCCCGUCUGCUUUUGGAGUAACUCCGCCCUCUUUUUGGACAUUCUGCCCCCAUUUAGAGGUCUCUGGCCUGUAGAUAUAAUUACUUGUACUACAUUGAGAUUCCCUACUUUCAUUGAUAGUUCAGAAACGCCCAUCCUGGUUUGGAAAUGCCCACUGAUUACUACACUGAGAUUGUUCCGCAAAGACCUAUACUUCCCCCUUAGACACAUCAUGCCCUUUCGCACUCUCUGAUUCCCUGUGAACAAAUAGGCAAUACUAAAUAAAAGCUGAUAAAUGUUUAACGUCGUAACAAACAAGACCACUAUAACAUACAUACACUGGACAGAAAGCGUGGCAGAGGAAUCGGCACAUCCGAUAACAUCACCGGAUUGAACAGCAGCUGGGUGUGUGGGGGAUCUAGCACAAGAGACGAGCUGACAGGAAGCCCAGUGCCUAUUCCUGCAUCUGUAGCUGUCAUUUUCCUUCAGUGAAUAAAAAAGUCCCUGUUUUAUUUGUAGCCACAAAUGAUGUCCCCAUUGGACAAAAUUGUGAAGAUCAUUCCUACUGCUUGAGAAAGGAAAACACUGAUGGGAAUGAAAUCGGUCCACAAGCCAUGGAUGGAGAGGAGGAAGGAGCUACACAGCUUAUGGCUGAUAAGGAGGAAGGAGAUCCACUAUCUCAGGCUGCUGUAAAGGGUCCUCAACCCUUUACCAACAAUGUUGAGGAAUAAUCAAGUAGUAAAAUGGUAGAAGAGCUGCAGUCUGAAUGAAGAAAUAGGAUUCAGCUUGAGAUCCAGCAAGAGCACACUACAGCAGAGUUGAGGUCUCAAGUAAAAGCAGAGUUACUGUCGUGACAGGUAUUCUGCCUCUCAGAUGAGUGAAAGUGUUCUUCGGAUGGAGACGGGAUUGCCAGAUAAAGAUAUCUUCAGUGCUGUAUGUGAAUAUGUUGCUCGUUUUGAGGGUUCCAUUACAUACCAUGCCGGUCGGACACCCAAAAAACUCAUUCUUGAAGAACAAAUUUUCAUGACCCUCAUGAAACUCUGUCAUAACUGUACACACCUGCACCUGGCUGCAUUCUUCCACUGCAGUGAAAGCACUGUCAGGAAUGUGUCAAUAACUUUUAUAUAGUUCUUCACAGGCUCCUCUUUAAGGACAUCAUGAGCACUGUACACAGCCGGGAGAAAAAUAAAACCUGCUUGCCUUCUUAAUUUCUGCACUUCCAAAAUUUCAGAAUGAUAUUGGAUUGCACUGACAUCAAAAUCGCUAUUGCCAAGCAAAUGGAUACCCAGAAAGAGACCUACUCUGCAUACCGUGGCAUGCACUCCUUCAAACUACUCCUGAGGGUGGCACCGAAUGCUGUGAACACUUACUGCAGCAAACUUUACCCAGGAUCAGUAAGUGAUAAGGAAAUAGAACUGGAUUCUGUCUUUCUGGACAAUUUCAAGCCUGGAGACCUGAAUUUUGCUGACAAGGGAUUCCUGAUCCAAAAUAUUCUGCCUGAAGGAGUCACAGUAAACAUUCCCCCAUUCCUCAGUCAUGUCCAACUGACACACAGCAAAGCACAUGCUACAAAGCUGAUUGCACAGAAUAGGAUUCAUGUUGAAAGGACAAAUGCCCAUUUAAAAUAAUUUAGAAUCCUGAAAUUCAUCCCAUCUCAUGAGACACUUUGCAGAUAAGCUGGUUCAGGUAUGCUGUGCACUAGUGAACUUCCAAAGUCCUCUCAUAAAAGAAGAGGCAGCAGAAUAGUGCAAAAAAAAUGUAUCUUCCUCCAUCCAGCCAGCAACACCAGGAUCUCUUCCUCCUGCUACUUCACAGUGAAGGGACACUUCACCUCCAGCACCGCCGAAGACCCCACCAGACCAUCUGGAGAUGCUCACAACAAUCAUGAUGGAGAGAGCCACAAGCCUGACUCUUGAACUGGCAUCUGUGUUACAGUAGUGAAUACCCUGAUGCCCUCACUCUCGUUCACAAUCCCCCACUGUACAGACAAAACACCAUCUAGUGCUCGCUGCUGUCCCAGCAACCUGGCAAGAAGUGAAGCAGCCACACACUUUGACUUAAGGACAGCUCCAAAAUUACUGGCUGUCAGCCCCCCUCUCCUAAAUAAAUGCCAGUUUGGGUUGGUAUGCUGGCCAGUUGUUGCCACCUGAAUGGCUCUCCAUUACUCCUCUGACAAGGCCAUGCUGGCCAGGAUAGCAGAAAGUGUUGCCAAGGUGUAUGGUUCCUCUUCUGGCUCAAGUGAGAGAAGCCAAGACAUUCCUGAGAACCUACCCCUCAGCCAGUCACGAUCCUCAGCAGUUGGCUCUCUUGUCAGUGGGUUAUAGGGCUUAUUCGAAGGGUGUCUGUGCAGCUGAAAUUGUGGAUGGCAAAGAUAGCCAAUGCAGCUGUAUGACUGCAUUUGCAUUUUCCACAUGGGCAUUCAUAUUGUGUGGUGAGAAUACCCUCUUCACCUGUAGAGACCUGUGUCAUGGUGGGAUUCAUGUUAAAAGUUGACAGGUACUUUAUAGAUAAUUUGAAUAAACUUAAUUUAUGGGAAUGUGUGUGUGUGUGUGUGUGUCUAAGCGAUUUUGUGUUUGUUUGUUUUUUAACAUUUAAAGAUGUUAAUUCUACAGUGCUGUUGUGAGGUUGUAUUUUAGCCACUGUCUGAGAUGUGGACCAGGUCAAAACUAUGGAGUGAAACAAACAUGAAUGAAUAUGAUUUAUAUAGAGAAAAUAAACAA